GGUCAAGUUAUUAAGGGCUUACGGUGGAUGCCUUGGGACCAAGAGCCGAUGAAGGGCGCGGCAAGGCUGCGUUAAGCCUCGAUGAGCCGUCUAGCGGGCAUAGUCGGGGAUACCCGAAUGGGGAAACCUUAUCCGGUGUUGAGUCGGAUAAUCCGUAAAUCGGGAAGGUAAGCGGGGGAACUGAAACAUCUAAGUACCCCGAGGAAAAUAAAUCAACCGAGAUUCCCUGAGUAGUGGCGAACGAAAGGGGAAGAGCCCAAACCGGUAGGACUUAGUGGUACGAGGGCCUAUGUCUUACCGGGGUUGUAGGAUGCGCCUUGGGUCGCCUCGCCAGACCAGAAGGAGUUACAAAUCUCAUUUCUAGUCGAAGGCACCUGGGAAGGACCGUCAUAGAGGGUGAAAGCCCCGUAGACGAAAGG
rnacentral:rRNA from 1 species